CUGGGCGAGGUGAAGGUAAUAACCGGAUCCGUGCUCGGUCCCGUGCCUUGGCCUCCCGCGGAUCUGCCUCGCUGCGAGGCUUCCGUGACGGCUUGCCGUCGCGGUCGUCCUCUUCGGCCGCUAUUUAACGGUCAGCUCAGAACUGGCACGGACUGGGGGAAUCCGACUGUCUAAUUAAAACAAAGCAUUGCGAUGGCCCUAGCGGGUGUUGACGCAAUGUGAUUUCUGCCCAGUGCUCUGAAUGUCAACGUGAAGAAAUUCAAGCAAGCGCGGGUAAACGGCGGGAGUAACUAUGACUCUCUUAACAGUUGCCUAAACUCACGUGAGGGUAUACCAAGUUAAGGUCAAGGGUCAUAGUUGCAUGGGACAGUAUUGCGAAUAUAUAGCUUCCGCUGUCCAAGUUUUCACCAGUACCUCCUCGUGGUCCUGUCGGUAACAGAUCUUCGGAUCUGGCCGAAUCUGGUGAAGGCGCGCGGGGUUUGGGGUUACCUCCCCCUCUCCCCGAGAAUAAACUGGUGCAAGUAAAUAUAGAAUAACGCGAAAGGCGUCUAAAUCCGGCCAGUCCUCUGACUGCGCCGUGCCAGCUCAAGGAGUUGAACCAUUAGAUGAUCCCGGGAGUGCUCGUUUAGAGGAAAGUGGAUUCGCUUGUCGUUUCCCGGGUUGUGGAAGAAGUUUUGAGAAGAGCACAGGUCGUGGCGUGCACGAACAGAGAAUGCAUAAGAACUGGUAUGAUGAAAAGAAUGCUCAAAACGUAGAUAAGAAGGCUAGAUGGGCGGAGGAGGAAAAGGAAAUGCUGGCUCGUAAGGAAGCAGAACUGACUUUGACAGGGGAAAGAGUGACGAUGAACCAGGAAUUGGCAAAAGUUUUUGGCGGAAGAUCUGUCGAGGCUAUUAAGGGUCAUCGUCGUAGGCUGAGUUACCGACGUAGAGUCGAGAGAUAUUUAGCUCUUCUGGCUCAGAAGGAUCAGAGCACGAGUGAUAACUCGGAUAACAUCAGUGUGGAGAUGGAGCUUGCGCCGGAUCCCACUGAAAAUGAAUUAUGGAAGAACUAUUUCUCCUCUUUACCUCCAAUAACAUACGAGGAGUUCAAUGCGGGCAGAAUUCAUACGCUUUGUAGUCAAGUGGCCACGCGAACUCGGGAGGACAUUAAUACGGAACUUGGUCUUUAUCUCUUAGAGACUUUCCCCAAAUCCCAAAAGAGACAUACGCCUGAGGUGAGCCAUCUCAGCACUGAAGGGCUAAGUAAAAAGAAGGUCAGGAGGGCAGAAUAUGCUCGGGUUCAGGAUCUCUGGAAGAAGGACCCUGCUAGGUGUGUUAAGAGAAUAAUUGAAGACCAACUGGGGCAUGAAGAGGGCAUACCCCAGGAAAGAAUGUCUCCUUAUUGGAGGACAGUAAUGACUCGAAACACGGGGUUAUCACCAACCCUUCCGGAACCCUCGGAGGUUCAUGAACACCUGUGGACCCCGAUCACGGCCUCUGAAAUAAAAACAGCCUUUCCGCCAAACAAGACGGCUGUAGGCCCGGAUGGUGUUAGCGUGGCCACUUUGAGGGAUGUGCCGUUAGACCUACUUGCUAGGCUAUUCAAUCUUUUUAUGUACAGUGGCAGAAUUCCUGAACACCUAAACAUCUCAAGGACUGUACUGAUUCCGAAAAAGAAGGGAUCUAAUGAUCCAGGGGACUUUCGGCCGAUAACGGUUUCCUCGGUCAUACUGAGGACAUUUCACAAAGUGCUCGCUAAUAGACUCAAGAAACUGGAGUUAGAUCCACGGCAACGUGGGUUUAUUGAUGAAGAUGGUUGUGCCGAAAACACCGUACUAUUGGACCUGGUGCUCAGGUAUCAUAGGAUGAAACAUAAGAAGAUGUUUAUGGCAUCUUUAGACAUGCGCAAAGCCUUCGACUCCGUUUCAUUUGAGGCUCUGAGGGAGGUUCUCAAAGCUAAAGGCAUACCAGAUGGCAUGAUGAGGUAUAUAAUGAAUGGAUACAAGUCAAAUACAACUGUGCUACAGCAUGCGGGUUGGGAGUCGGAAGGCAUUCACCCGGAAUGUGGGGUAAAACAGGGUGAUCCCCUUUCCCCGUAUCUAUUCAAUAUGAUAAUCGACGAAAUGUUGAAGAUAGUGCCCGAUGAGAUAGGGGUGGACAUUGAUGGCAUGAAAGUUAAUGUUAUGGCGUUUGCUGAUGACUUGAUUUUGCUGGCAUCAACACAGACAGGGCUUCAAGAGCUCAUCAACAAAGUUGCCGAUUUCUUAUACCUGUGCGGUUUAGAAGCCAACUCCAACAAGUGCUCGACCGUAGCCAUCAGAACAGUACCGAAAGAGAAGAAGACGAUUGUUGAUGGUAGCUGCCGCUUCACGAUCAGGGGCGUGACAAUGCCUGCGCUCAGACGUACGGAGGAUUGGAAGUAUCUUGGAAUAUCGUUCACUCCGGAAGGCAGGUUGUCUGUUAACGUCGUCGAUACUCUGAAAUCAAAAUUAGACAAAAUAACUAAAGCUCCACUGAAGCCU
rnacentral:rRNA from 1 species